GAGCAGACCCGGCGGCUGCUGAUCCACGCCGCGCGCCCGUCGUGUGAGAGCGGAUGGGUCGAUCGCGAAGCGACGGAUCGGAAUUGAGAGGGCGAGGGGGAGGCGCCGGGAUCUGGUGGGGUAGCAGCGAGGCGAGCAGCAGCCGUCGGGAAUCUGAUGGGAGUAGCGAGGCGAGCAGCACCCGUCGCCGUGAGGCUGCUCCGAUC
rnacentral:lncRNA from 7 species